GAUGAAGAACGUAGCAAAAUGCGAUAAGUAAUGUGAAUUGCAGAAUUCAGUGAAUCAUCGAAUCUUUGAACGCACAUUGCGCCCGCCAGUAUUCUGGCGGGCAUGCCUGUUCGAGCGUCAUUUCAACCCUCAAGCUCAGCUUGGUGUUGGGACUCGCGGUAACCCGCGUUCCCCAAAUCGAUUGGCGGUCACGUCGAGCUUCCAUAGCGUAGUAGUAAAACCCUCGUUACUGGUAAUCGUCGCGGCCACGCCGUUAAACCCCAACUUCUGAAUGUUGACCUCGGAUCAGGUAGGAAUACCCGCUGAACUUAAGCAUAUCAAUAAGCGGAGGA
rnacentral:misc_RNA from 1 species